rnacentral:rRNA from 1 species
CCUACGGGUGGCAGCAGUGAGGAAUAUUGGUCAAUGGUCGCGAGCCUGAACCAGCCAAGUCGCGUGAGGGAAGACGGUCCUAUGGAUUUUAAACCUCUUUUGUCGGGGAGCAAAAGACGCCACGCGUAGCGUUCCGAGAGUACCCGAAGAAAAAGCAUCGGCAAACUCCGUGCCAGCCGCCGCGGUAAGACGGGGGAUUCGAGCGUUACCCGGAUUGAUUGGGUUGAAGGGGGUCGCAGGCGUAAGAUCAAGGCAGCGGUAAAAUCGAGAGGCUCAACCUCUUCGAGCCGUUGAAACUGGUUUUCUUGAGUGAGUGAGAAGGAUGCGGAAUGCGUGGUGUAGCGGUGAAAUGCAUAGAUAUCACGCAGAACACCGAUUGCGAAGGCAGCAUACCGGCGCUCAACUGACGCUCAUGCACGAAAGUGUGGGUAUCGAACAGGAUUAGAUACCCCUGUAGUC